AUCCCUGACCUCACUCAGUGGGUUAGGGAUCUAGCAUUGCAAUGAGCUGUGGUGUAGGUCACUGAUGCAGCUCGGAUCCUGCAUUGCUGUGGCUGUGGUAAAGGCUGGCAGCUAUAGCUCCAGUUCAACCCCUAGUCUGGAAACCUCCAUAUGCCUCGGGUGCAGCCCCCAAAAAACAAAAAACCAAAAAAAAAAGAAGGACAAGAAUCCACUGUUUAGGCUUUGAAACUUAUUAGACCAGGUUUUAAAGCUUAACUACAUUAGCCAAACCUCAAAACUUCUCUAUUUCCUACUCUAUGGAAUGAGAAAGGCAAAUCCUGUCCCAGCGAUUAUCAUAGUUUAAAUCAAGCAACCUGUUUGAAGAAUUUGGCACAAUCCCUGGCCCAGAUACUUAAUACAUGGUAGGUGUUUUUAAAUAAUCACUACAUGAUUUGCACUUAGUUGUUAAAGUUGAAAUUGCAUUUCAACUACUGUUAAAGAGUGUUGAAACAGUUUGAACUUGAGUAACUCUUUUUUUUCUGGUUAAUUUAACAAGCAUCUCCCUUGAACAUCGCUGAGCUACUGCUACAUCCCAGAUUUGAAUGAGCAUCUCUAACCCAGGGCUCAGCCAGUUAAGUUUUAUUUCCAGUAAAGAGGACCAGGGAAUACUUUUCAAACAUGAGCAAUAGUACCUGACCCUACCAGAAUCAAUGCAACUUCUUCCCUGUGGAAAUUCUGGGCUUUCUCCCAAAUGCUUCAUUUGAAGGUGAAUGCCUCAUGCAAAAUGCCACAUAUGCAACUCUCUCUCUACUAAACAGUUAAUGCAGAAAUACCAAAAGGAUCCCCUGCCCAUGCUGUCUUUCUUAAUGAAUUGUGACAAAGCACUAAUUUCAGCACAAUUGGCCCAGAGUCUCUCAUUGUGACAGAGAAAUCUCCACCAAGGAAAGCGGCAAGGGUACUCUGAGAUUGUGGCGUGUCCAGGGCUGAGUUUGAUUUAUGAAAUGAGACCUAGGAGCUUGGAUUGAACAGAUUGGCUUGCCAGAGACAGCUGUAGUGGAAGAGCUGCUGCCAGGUACGGGGAGUGGAAAGAGAGAAAAAUGAACAGUGGGAUAAAAAUUCCUUUCCCAGUCCCCACUUAUCAACAUGAAACAUCUGUUUCAGCUACAGUGGUUCCCAGUGGCAGUCAGAAUUAUUGAUACGACGAAAUCGCUGCCUAUAUGCAGCACAAUGGUAACCCUCGUCCCACAACCCCACCCCACCCCCAGCUGCAUUGUAAUAAUUCAUGACUUUACUAGUGCUACCAGGACACUGUGCACCACAUGAGAGGGAAGAAUGCCAGGGCAAUUGUGCAAAUGGGGAGGGUGGGGGGGAUUUUCCCCAGGAGCAGUAAAUUCCUGCCCACUCUUCUGUUUUAUUGUGGAUGAACACAGCGAUUAUACUGUUUGGAAAAUAAGCAAUAAGCUUCUGUCUGUCUCCAAUUGUUUUUAAUAUUCUUUUUAAUGGAAGAACAUAGCUUUUAUUUAAACUAAACAUAAUGAAUGCACGUGAAGAUUUGGAUCGGUGUUUUUAAAAAUCGUGCUCUCUCAUAUGUUAUGUAAGCACAUGCUGCUAUAAAUAGGGAAACAAAUAUGCUUAGUUCAGCUUUUUGUGAGACAAAAUUUGAUUAGGGAUGUGCAAAAGCGGAUGCUGUCAGCCAACACAUAGCACCAGGGAGCAAUACCUACCAUGUUAGAAGGAAAAUUAAAUGCAUUGAUUAUCAAAGAAACUGAUUUUGCAGAAACAUAACAAGAAAGUUUACAUGCCUGAAUAAAUAGGAACUAGAAUGCCUUAAUUUCAGCAAUAUCACUUUUUAAUGCAAUGUGGUAAACUUCCAUGAGUUCCCACGGCAGCUGAAGAAUAAUUAGAAAAUUUACUAUGGAGGAGAGUAAGGAGGUAACUUAGAAAAUUUACUAAUCAAGUUCUUAUGGUUCUUAGCCAGUUCUAAGUAACAGAACAAUGCAAAAAAGAAAACAAAAGCUAGAGCCUAUCACUUGUGAAAAUGUUUUACUUCCAUGUAUACUCUAAUUGUCCUUAACCUGUAAAAGAAUUUUAUUUGUAUCUUCUUAUCUGAUAAGGAAUUUAUGUUUUUAAAGGUGAUUUAUGAAAAGAAUGGGUGUGGGAAAAUAACAUUUUUUAAAUUAAUUUCCCAACUAAAAUAGUAAUGUGUCUAAUUUGGAUGUGCAAGCUGAAGAAUGUAGGCGGAGUGAUGGCUCACUGCUUUUACUGGGAUACUUAGCACUGGUCCUUGGGAUGCGGUAAAAAUGGAGUUUAGAGUUUUCAUGUACCUUUCAGAUGUCUUCAUGUUCUGUCACUUUCCUAAUUUUAAAUACUACACUUCUUUCCUUCACUCUUUAUAAAACUUGAAUAUAUAUAAAAGUUAAUUUUACUUUCCUCAAAAAUGCCUGCUCCCUUUUAGCUCAAGGUCCUUCACACUUGCUUUUCCCUAUGACUGGAACACUGUUCCUGGCUUUUCACAAGGCUUGUUUUAUCACCAUUAAGCAAACAACCCAAACAUUACUUUCUCACCUUCCUCACCCCUCAUCACAGGCAAUCAUAUUUUUCUGCUUUUCUUCCUUUCCAUUUCAUUAUUUUCAAAAUCUAUCUUGUUUGCUUACCUGUUAAUGACCCCCCCCCCCCUGCUAGAGUAAACAUCCCAGGAGAGCAAAGAUCUUAUCUCACUUUCUGUUAUUUCUCUUGUGCCAGGAACUGUGCACAUGAAUAUUUCCUGAGUCUACGAGAUGUGAAAGGAGGAAGUAAGGCUCUCAGAACCAUAAGCUGUUCUUUGACUUCCUGUAUGUUGUCCUUAGUUUCGGAGGUCUAUGGAUUGCUCUAAAUUGGUAAUUCCUGUGAAGUAGUUAAUGGUGGGAUCUUUAGGAAAGAAAGGAAGUACUAGGAAGUACCAGUGGGGCAGCAAAUGAUACCAGCUCACAAGGGGAGCUUGGGUUCACAAUCAGAAAGUAUGUUCUCUACUUUCCUCUCAUUCACAGUCAGCAUUAACUCAGUUUAGCUUUCACGACUUUCACUCUCUGCUAAAUUAGAUACCUUAAUGGGUGGUAUGACUUAUUAGUCAAAAACUAAGGAUGUUUCUCUGUGGGAUAUUACUAUUAAUAUCACAUCAUAUUUCACUGUUCUGACUCUUUAAUGUGUUGAUAUCCGUUGUUAAUGUAGUAUUUUGCAAGAAUAUAUGGUAUUCAACUUCUUAUUUUUAAAAUUUACUAUUUUAGAAAAUUUUUAUAACGACUGCCUUUUAUAUUACAAAAUGAAUUGUUAAAAUGUUUCAUAAAAUGCAUUUCCCUCUUCUAUAGGAGAUAUCUAUAAAAUCAUAAACAGGUACUUGGAGGCAAAAGUAUUUAUCACCACACACAAAAUUCAGCCCAGUUUUGUUUUCCCUGAGGAGCCAAGUUCAUGUCUCAUUUCUCAUAUUUAAGGGAUGGUAUCUUGACCCCAAGCCUGCCAGAGGCCCCCCCACAGGACUCAGCCAUGAGACCACUGUGGAGGAACCUGUAAUGAGCCCCAUGCACACACUACAUGGUUUCAAUUACAGCUUUAUGUCACUAGACAGCAUGGUGCCAGGAAGGAACGAUUGAAAACUAGGCAAAGGGUCUUUGUCUUUCUGAUUCAGGUACCUGGGCCUCCUCUUGCAGGUUCUUUCUCUCCUUGUCAUUAUUAAGGUUUGUUUUAUCUGUGCAAAGACCUGUAUCUGAAGUUAGAUAGGGAUUCUGUGCUGAAAUGAGAGAAACGGAGAAGAAUAGCCCAGGUACCUAUACUAAUCUUGUGCUUUUUUCCUGUAAUUUCCACACAUGUCUGAGGCUUGUAGGGUGAUAUUGUCUUUCUCAAGGGUGCUUUUGGGAGCGGUCACCAGCUAGCAAGUGUUUUUCCUAAGGCUGCAGUCAUUGCAAGUUUCCUCAAAAUAUGGGGAGGGGAGGUGAUGGCUUUUUCUAUGACUUAAAAAGGAUUAUAUCAGAACAUGAAGCAUUAGCUACAUAGUUCUUAGAAGAGAUGCAAUAGUGACUUAUGAAAAAAAAAGUAAAGCUUGGGCUUAAUAAACAAUUGAAUGGAAUUGAAAACAUUAGCUCAAGUCAUUUGUAUAGUUGCUUCUGGCUUCCAGGUAGGGAACACCUUCUUUUUUUUUUUUUUUUUUCCAAAAUGUCCUAAAAAGGUUCUGUGGAAGGAAGGUGCUUUAUGGCUCUCUUGUCUUUUCUCACUAGAGACUUAUUCAUGCCUAGGACAUAGUAGGACUUCAUGCCGUGUUUGUCAAAUUUAUGAAUAAAUGAAUGCUCAACUAACCUCUUUGCUUACGGUUGUGGACAAAAACCCAGAGGAAAGAUAUAGGUAACCCAGGGGGACAGAGCCAGGUUGUGGCUAAAAUGAAACCCUAACCCAGUUAUGCUGUGGCUUUCCACUAUAUCAGGAACAACAGCCGUGUGGUAAAAACGGACUCUUUGGGGAUGGGAAAGGAGACUCAGGGAUACACCUUAUUCGCAAUGGCUGCCCCCAUCACGUUGAAGCCUGAUGCAUGGAUCUAUUAAGUUUAACAUCCCUGUGCUGGUAUGAAGUCAAAUUCACUAUCAAUAGCUUCAGACUCUUAUUGUCAGAGACCAAUAUGGCUGCUGUGGAAAUGCAAAUGAAUUUCUGUAGGUGAGGAAGAAACGGGCUUUCUGACAGCAUGUCAGAUUUCCAAGGAGGGAGGAAGAGAGAUAGAGAGCCCAAGAAAAGUGGGGGGAUAAAUUGAAAACAGCCUAGAGAAGGCAUUUCACAAUAUAUUGUAACUGCUUUUGGAAACUUCAGUUCCUUGUAGAACUGAGGAAAAUAGAAGCUGGGAACAACAGGUUAAAUCAUUUUUUAAACAGAGUUUUAAAAGCUUUCCAGUUCAUGUAGAGGCUCAAACAUCCGCCUCUUAAUGCAUUUGUUUUCUUGAAAUGGCCCAUUCUUUAUGUCUUAGAAAACCUAUCUUCCACCUAUAAUUGAAGAAAGAAAUGGUUAAGCAUGCCUGGUCCCUCUUGUUGGAGGG
rnacentral:lncRNA from 1 species